UCACGCUAAUACCGCAUACGCCCUACGGGGGAAAGCUGGGGACCUUCGGGCCUGGCGCUAAUAGAUGAGCCUAUGUUGGAUUAGCUAGUUGGUAGGGUAAUGGCCUACCAAGGCGACGAUCCAUAGCUGGUCUGAGAGGAUGAUCAGCCACACUGGGACUGAGACACGGCCCAGACUCCUACGGGAGGCAGCAGUGGGGAAUAUUGGACAAUGGGCGAAAGCCUGAUCCAGCAAUACCGCGUGUGUGAAGAAGGCCUGAGGGUUGUAAAGCACUUUNAAUAGGAAGGAAUACCUNNCGGUUAAUACCCGGCAGACUGACAUUACCUANNNNAGAAGCACCGGCUAACUCCGUGCCAGCAGCCGCGGUAAUACNNNNNGUGCAAGCNNUAAUCAGAAUUACUGGGCGUAAAGCGUGCGUAGGCGGUUGUUUAAGUCAGAUGUGAAAGCCCUGGGCUUAACCUGGGAACUGCAUUUGAUACUGGGCAACUAGAGUUUAGUAGAGGGGAGUGGAAUUUCAGGUGUAGNNGUGAAAUGCGUAGAGAUCUGAAGGAACACCAGUGGCGAAGGCGGCUCCCUGGACUAAAACUGACGCUGAGGUACGGAAGCGUGGGUAGCAAA
rnacentral:rRNA from 1 species